CUACAGUGUUCACCAAAUGCAAGCAGACAGCAUGAGGAUCUGCAGUGAAUGUUGUGCACAGGUGCUGCCUUUCACUCCUGCAGCUCAGUUCCACAAAGCUGUUGUCCUGGAGGUCUUCAACAGGAGAUCCGUGUUUUGAAACGUUGCUCACCAACGUAAGGAGGCACCUGUAAUAACAGGCUGUGCCUUGGUUGAGAGCACUUUGCCAGCAUUCCCAAAUCUCCAUAAGUAUGGCUGCUGCUACUCACUUGGAAGAAGGGGAGCUCCUUUUUGGUCAUGCAAAAAGCAUCACCUUUACCACUGUUACCAUGUUGGCCAUUGUCAAAGCUUUACAGAAGGCAGAGCUGCUUCAUCAAAGCUCUGAGACCAGGCAGCGUUGCUCUGCCCCUUACAAGCCUGACACGGCACCAGCAGCCAGCACCAGCAGGAGCUGCUGAAGGUGGCGAUGGGGCUCGGCAUGGUCGGGGCAGAGCACCCUGCACUGGCCCUGCUCCUGCUGCCCUCGUCCUGCUGCCACCUCACUGCAGCCCCGUUGUGCCCCUGGCUGCAGGCAGCGUGCAGAGCCCCUGCCCUGGGAUCCUGCAGUGGUUACGUGAGAGGCUGGCAGGACGGAGUAAACCGCCGGGAGAUUAUUGCAGCAGUAAUCUCAAAAGGGAUGGAAAAGAAAUGGCAUGA
rnacentral:lncRNA from 1 species